rnacentral:lncRNA from 1 species
UUAAGGAUAACACCUUAUCCAAGAAGAGUGGGUGAAGUACAAAGGUUGAGUGUUGACUUUCCUUUAUCCUAUGACACAAGCAAACACUCCCAUACCCACUCCAUGUCACUAUUCACCAUCAGCCCAUACCUAAUCAUUUCAUGGUACUUUUCUCACCUUUUUCCAACCACACAAUUGGUCAAAGGUUAGAAAACUCUCCUCUCUCCUCACAUUUCUUUCAUUUCCUCUCAUUCCUCCAUCAAGAACAAACUUCACUUUCUCUCAUCUUCUCUCUCUAAAAUUCGAGAUCCAAGGCUAUACUCCAAGCUUUUCUUCUACUUUUGGUAAGUAUUAACAUCCCCCAUAUGAUUAUUUCACUUCCUUCUACAAAAAUCAUAGAUUGCUUACACAAAUAUCAUCAUAUUUGUUGUUAGCUCCUCAAAUCUUCAAGCAUCUCCCAAGUGUUCUUGAGUUGAACACUUCUUUUCUCCAUCAUCCAUCUACUGAAAUCACUCAAGGUGAGUUCAUACCCAUGUAUUUUCAUGUUUUCUCAAGUUUUUAGGGGGGGAAUACAAGUUAAAACACCAAGAACAUAACUAGACUUUUCUAACAGCUUUCAUCAGAAAAGUUGGACUCCAUUCACGGACUGUUUUGGACAACUUAAACAUUUUAGUUUUAAAAACUGUUUUAGUUGCAAGUAGUUCCAGUUCUUAGCUUUAAAAUGAAUACUUGCACAUCUCCACACGACUUUUCUACAAUUUAUGGUGAUUUUUACAAAACAGCCUGUCUUUUCAAACACAAAUCCGGACCAGUCUGUGAAUAUGAGCAUUUUAAUAUAAGUUAAAGGCUUCCAAAAAUCAUGAUAAAAAUUAUGAGUAAACUAGACCAUUUUAGGAACUCUCAGAAUUUACAGAUCUAGUUUUCGACUUUGUAUGAUUUUUCUAUGAUUUUUCUAAAACAGUGAAGAAAGGUUAAGAGUUAGUUAACAGCUUAUAAUUNUGAGUAUUUUAAUAUAAGUUAAAAGCUUCCAAAAAUCAUGAUAAAAUUAUGAGUAAACUAGACUCAUUUUAGGAACUCUCAGAAUUUACAGAUCUAGUUUUCGACUUUGUAUGAUUUUUCUAUGAUUUUUCUAAAACAGUGAAGAAAGGUUAAGAGUUAGUUAACAGCUUAUAAUUUUCAAAACACUUUGUAACAUGUUGAGCAAAGUGUUAAAUCUUUGAUAACUUCAUAUAUUACAAGUAUUUCUUGUAGUGGUAUAAUUAUAUAAUAGAAAACACUCACUAAAUUGUAAGAAUCCUCCAUCAUAAUCAUUAGUACAAAGCAAAGCAAGAUAAACAUAGCUAUAUUGUACUAUACAUUUGACUUACAUAGAAAGGGUUCUUAAACACCACAAAUAAACAUACUAAACUAUAAUAAGUAUAGUUAGGUUGCAUAUACAUUUCAAACAUUUUGAUAAACUAUAAUAGGUAUAGUUUAUGAUCAUUUACAUUACAAAAGGUUUUCACACGAAAAAGGGUACAGAUACAAAGUACCAGGUUCACAUAAAAUAGUUAUUAUGAUAUUAAAACUAUAUAUCAUCUAGAAUUGUUAGACUUCAACUAUAAUCACUGAGCGUAUAUGCU